rnacentral:rRNA from 1 species
GAUGAACGCUAGCUACAGGCUUAACACAUGCAAGUCGAGGGGAAACGAUAUUGGAAGCUUGCUUCUGAUAGGCGUCGACCGGCGCACGGGUGAGUAACGCGUAUCCAACCUGCCCAUCACUUGGGGAUAACCUUGCGAAAGUAAGACUAAUACCCAAUGACGUCUCUAGAAGACAUCUGAAAGAGAUUAAAGAUUUAUCGGUGAUGGAUGGGGAUGCGUCUGAUUAGCUUGUUGGCGGGGUAACGGCCCACCAAGGCGACGAUCAGUAGGGGUUCUGAGAGGGUGAACGGCCACAUUGGGACUGAGACACGGCCCAAACUCCUACGGGAGGCAGCAGUGGGGAAUAUUGCACAAUGGGGGAAACCCUGAUGCAGCGACGCCGCGUGAGUGAUGAAGUAUUUCGGUAUGUAAAACUCUAUCAGCAGGGAAGAUAAUGACGGUACCUGACUAAGAAGCACCGGCUAACUACGUGCCAGCAGCCGCGGU